rnacentral:misc_RNA from 1 species
GUAUAUAACUUUAUGGGCAUCAAAGACCCAGAUCAACAUUCUAUUACAUUCAUAGGAGUAUGUGAGUAACAUAGAACCUAGAGAGACAAGGAAAAGCUGGCUUUGAAAGGCACAGCAGUCCUCCAGACAAAAGGUCUACAAAAAGGUGCACAGGUGGAAAUCAAUAAAUAAAUGACAAGCGUGCACACUACCCUAGAAGGGCCAGCAACAGAUUCAAUAAUGAUCCUUCCGCAGGUUCACCUACGGAAA